AAAGUAGUAAAUUUCAGUUGUUAAUUUGAGAUCAAACGAUCUAAGCUCACACGGUUAAUUUCACACAAUAAAAUAAUCUUAGCCUGCAAUAUAAAUUAGAUGACCGAGAGUUGUAAAUCUCAAUCCUAAGUAUGGUGGAUAGACAAUGUUUCAGAUCUAUAAUAAUAAUAAUAACAAUUUUCAUUGAAUCAAUUGGAAAAGAAAAUAUUUUCACCGAAAAGAAAGUGUAAUCUCCCUUUAACUCUGACUCAAUGAAUCAAUUAUCAAAUUGACGAUAAAAAAAAAUCAUGUGAAGAAUUAACGAGAUUAUAUCACAGAAGAUGAAAUAAAAAUAUUAGAAUUUUAUAGAUCAAAUAUAAUUGUGUUUUACCUCGAUCAGACUUUGAUGAUGAGAUUUGAAUGUACACAAGUUUAUGAUUAUUGAAAUGUUUUAUAUAUCUCUCUCCCUCCCUCCCUCUCCCCCUCUCUCUAUGCUAAGUGAAGAAAUGUAAUGUUUUCUUGCACUGCACAAAUUUUUUAUUUUUUUUGAAACAUGCACUGCACAAAUUUCAAAUUCCAAGAUAAGGUAGUCACUAGUUAGUAGUCACACACGAUUUUGUACAAAUAAUUACAAGGGUAAAUAGGGUUUUACC
rnacentral:lncRNA from 1 species